UUUCCUUUUUUUUUUUUCCAUUUUGUUUUCUUUUUUGUUCGUGGCAGUCGUGAUCGAGGGCUGCAUGUAAGCAAGGCACGGCAAGAGAGACUUUAUUUAAGAGAGAGCAAAAAAACCGAAAGACAAUUUU
rnacentral:ribozyme from 11 species